AUUGAACGCUGGCGGCAUGCUUUACACAUGCAAGUCGAACGGCAGCGCGGGCUUUGGCCUGGCGGCGAGUGGCGAACGGGUGAGUAAUACAUCGGAACGUGCCCAGUAGUGGGGGAUAGCUCGGCGAAAGCCGGAUUAAUACCGCAUACGACCUGAGGGUGAAAGCGGGGGAUCUUCGGACCUCGCGCUAUUGGAGCGGCCGAUGGCAGAUUAGCUAGUUGGUGGGGUAAAGGCCUACCAAGGCGACGAUCUGUAGCUGGUCUGAGAGGACGACCAGCCACACUGGGACUGAGACACGGCCCAGACUCCUACGGGAGGCAGCAGUGGGGAAUUUUGGACAAUGGGCGAAAGCCUGAUCCAGCAAUGCCGCGUGUGUGAUGAAGGCCUUCGGGUUGUAAAGCACUUUUGGCGGGAACGAAAAGGACUGUGCCAAUACCACGGUUCGAUGACGGUACCCGCAGAAUAAGCACCGGCUAACUACGU
rnacentral:rRNA from 1 species